rnacentral:sRNA from 1 species
GCUAGGUGUGGUGGCACACACCUGUAAUGCCAGGUGCUUGAGAGGCUGAGGUAGGAGAAUCACGAGUUCAAGGCCAGUCUGGACAACUUAGUGAGACCCUGUCUCAA